UCCCAAAAAGCUAGCCCGCCCUCUAACUGAACAACCCCCUUUAAAUUUAAACCCCUAGCGAAUAGAAAACAAACCAUUUAACCUCCCCAGUACCCGGGCGACAGAAAAGGAAAACCGGAGCAAUAGAAAAAGUACCGCAAGGGAAAGCUGAAAGAGAAAUGAAACAACUACCCCCAGCUACAGAAAGCAGAGAUUACCUCUCGUACCUUUUGCAUCAUGACCUAGCCAGUAUGACUGAGCACAGAGUACUUUAGUUCAGACCCCCGAAACUAGACGAGCUACUUCAAGACAGCCUAUGUUGGGCAAACCCGUCUCUGUCGCAAAAGAGUGGGAAGAUCUUCAAGUAGAGGUGACAAACCUAUCGAGCCUAGUUAUAGCUGGUUGUCUGAGAAGUGUAUAUUAGUUCAGCCUCCCGACUCCCCCCAUCACCGACACCACUGUCACCUAAGACUAAGGGCGACCGGCAGAGUUAGUCAAAGAGGGUACAGCCCCUUUGAAAAAGGACACAACCUCCACAGGAGAUAAAAGAUCAUAACUAUUUAAGGACACUUGUUUUAGUGGGCCUAAAAGCAGCCACCUAAGAAGAAAGCGUUAAAGCUCAUGCAAACUCCUACCCCCAAUACCGAACCAAACUCUUCACUCCCUAAGCACUACCAGACCGUCCCAUAUACCCUGGGAGAGACCCUGCUAGAAUGAGUAACAAGAGGGGACCGCCCCUCUCCCCCCACACAUGUGUAAGUCGGAACGGACCGGCCGCCGACAACUAACGAAUCCCCCCUCAGAGGGAAGUGUAAAACCUCCUAAAUAGCCAGAGAACCUAACACGACUGCUCGUUGACCCAACACAGGUGUGUACACCCGGAAAGACCCAAAUAAAGGGAAGGAACUCGGCAAACACAAGCCUCGCCUGUUUACCAAAAACAUCGCCUCUUGCAAAACGAACGAAUAAGAGGUCCCGCCUGCCCUGUGACUAUAUGUUUAACGGCCGCGGUAUUUUGACCGUGCGAAGGUAGCGCAAUCACUUGUCUCUUAAAUGGAGACCUGUAUGAAAGGCACCACGAGGGCUUGACUGUCUCCCCUUUAAAGUCAGUGAAAUUGAUCUCCCCGUGCAGAAGCGGGGAUUUACUCGUAAGACGAGAAGACCCUAUGGAGCUUAAGAUAUAAAGCGGCCCAAGUCAAGAACCCCUUUAAAGGAUACGAACAAUAUGGACCUCCGCCGAAAUAUCUUCGGUUGGGGCGACCGCGGGGAAAGACUAAACCCCCACAUGGACCGGGGCCACAAUAGCCUCAAAACCUAGACCCACAGGUCAAAACAACAGUACUUCUGACCACCAAAGAGCCGGCAAUGCCGAUCGACGGACCGAGUUACCCUAGGGAUAACAGCGCAAUCCCCUCCCAGAGCCCUUAUCGACGAGGGGGUUUACGACCUCGAUGUUGGAUCAGGACAUCCUAAUGGCGCAGCCGCUAUUAAGGGUUCGUUUGUUCAACGAUUAACAGUCCUACGUGAUCUGAGUUCAGACCGGAGUAAUCCAGGUCAGUUUCUAUCUACGUAUUGAUCUUUUCUAGUACGAAAGGACCGAAAAGAAGCGGCCUCUGCCUAUAGCACGCCCCACCCCCAACUAAUGAACACAAAUAAAAUAGAAGGGGGACAAAAUCCCACGCCCGAAAGCAGGGCAA
rnacentral:rRNA from 1 species